rnacentral:rRNA from 1 species
GAUCCUGGCUCAGGAUGAACGCUAGCUACAGGCUUAACACAUGCAAGUCGAGGGGCAGCAUCAUCAAAGCUUGCUUUGAUGGAUGGCGACCGGCGCACGGGUGAGUAACACGUAUCCAACCUGCCGACAACACUGGGAUAGCCUUUCGAAAGAAAGAUUAAUACCGGAUGGCAUAGUCUUCCCGCAUGGGAUGAUUAUUAAAGAAAUUCGGUUGUCGAUGGGGAUGCGUUCCA